rnacentral:piRNA from 1 species
UAAAUCUCUUUUAUCAGAUAAUGCUGCCC